CCCGUCCUUGAUCUAGGGGAAGCAAAGGUCACAGGAUCGUUUUGUGAUGGCCUUGGUGCUGACACCCUUAUAAACGUCCCGCCUCCGGCACACGUGCCGUGUGGCAAUUUCUGAAGCC